UGAAUACGAGAUGCUACGGCGUCGAAGCAGUCUAUGUCAUACUUCCAAGAAAAGCUUGCACUGUCAUAAACAAAUAAUGCCUGUACCAUAACCGACACAGGUGGGUAGGUAGAGUAUACUAAGGGGCGCGAGAUAACUCCCUCUAAGGAACUCGGCAAAAUGACUCCGUAACUUCGGGAGAAGGAGUGCCUUAUUUAUAAGGUUGCAAUAACAAGAUCCAAGCAACUGUUUACCAAAAACACAGGUCUCCGCUAAGUCGUAAGACGAUGUAUGGGGGCUGACGCCUGCCCAGUGCCAGAAGGUUAAAGAAGUUGGUUAGCAUCCGCGAAGCUGAUAACUGAAGCCCUGGUGAACGGCGGCCGUAACAAUAACGGUCCUAAGGUAGCGAAAUUCCUUGUCGGGUAAGUUCCGACCCGCACGAAAGGCGUAAUGAUUUGGAUACUGUCUCGGAGAGGGGCUCGGUGAAAUAGACUUGUCUGUGAAGAUGCGGACUACCUGCACCAGGACAGAAAGACCCUAUGAAGCUUUACUGUAACCUGAAAUUGAAAUUGGACUUUACUUGCGCAGUAUAGGUGGGAGGCGUUGAGAAUAUUCUUGCGGGAUUAUUGGAGCCAUCAGUGAGAUACCACUCUUGUAAUGUUAGAUUUCUAACUUUGUAUCAUUAUCUGGUCAAAGAACAGUUUCAGGCGGGCGGUUUGACUGGGGCGGUCGCCUCCUAAACGGUAACGGAGGCGCACAAAGGUUUCCUCUGAACGGGUAGAAAUCGUAUCUAGAGUGUAAAGGCAUAAGGAAGCUUGACUGUGAGACCUACAAGUCGAGCAGGGACGAAAGUCGGUCUUAGUGAUCUGACGGUGCUGAGUGGAAAGGCCGUCACUCAACGGAUAAAAGUUACUCUAAGGAUAACAGGCUGAUCUCCCCCAAGAGUUCACAUCGACGGGGAGGUUUGGCACCUCGAUGUCGGCUCAUCGCAUCCUGGGGCGGUAGUACGUCCCAAGGGUUGGGCUGUUCGCCCAUGAAAGCGGUACGCGAGCUGGGUUCAGAACGUCGUGAGACAGUUCGGUCCAUAUCCGGUGUAGGCGUUAGAAUAUUGAGAGGAGCCUUCUUUAGUACGAGAGGACCGAGAAGGACAUACCUCUGGUGUACCAGUUAUCGUGCCAACGGUAAACGCUGGGUAGCUAUGUGUGGAGUGGAUAACCGCUGAAAGCAUCUAAGUGGGAAGCCCACCUCAAGAUAAGUAUUCUCA
rnacentral:rRNA from 1 species